rnacentral:rRNA from 1 species
UGGGGAAUAUUGGACAAUGGGCGCAAGCCUGAUCCAGCCAUGCCGCGUGAGUGAAGAAGGCCUUAGGGUUGUAAAGCUCUUUCACCUGCGAAGAUGAUGACGGUAGCAGGAGAAGAAGCCCCGGCUAACUCCGUGCCAGCAGCCGCGGUAAUACGGAGGGGGCUAGCGUUGUUCGGAUUUACUGGGCGUAAAGGGCGCGUAGGCGGUAUGUCGUGUCAGGGGUGAAAGGCCUGGGCUCAACCCAGGAAUUGCCUUUGAAACAGGCAAACUAGAGACCGAUAGAGGAUGGCGGAAUUCCCAGUGUAGAGGUGAAAUUCGUAGAUAUUGGGAAGAACACCAGUGGCGAAGGCGGCCAUCUGGAUCGGCACUGACGCUGAGGCGCGAAAGCGUGGGGAGCAAACAGGAUUAGAUACCCCUGUAGUCC